GAUGAACGCUGGCGGCGUGCUUAACACAUGCAAGUCGAACGGAAAGGCCCUGCUUUGGUGGGGUGCUCGAGUGGCGAACGGGUGAGUAACACGUGGGUAACCUGCCCUGGACUUUGGGAUAACUUCAGGAAACUGGGGCUAAUACCGGAUAGGAGCUCCUGCUGGAUGGUGGGGGGGGGAAAGUUUCGGCGGUUGGGGAGGGACUCGCGGCUUAUCAGGUUGGUGGUGGGGUAGUGGCUUACCAAGGCGUUGACGGGCAGCCGGCCGGAGGGGGUGACCGGCACCAUUGGGACUGAGAUACGGCCCAGACUCUUCCGGGAGGAAGCAGUGGGGAAUAUUGCACAAUGGGCGGAAGCUGGAUGCAGCACCGCCGCGUGCGGGAUGACGGCCUUCGGGUUGUAACCCGUUUCCGCCUGUGACGAAGCGUGAGUGACGGUAAUGGGUAAAGAAGCACCGGCUAACUACGUG
rnacentral:rRNA from 1 species